UACUUAGAUAGCUUAUUUAAAGCACUGGUCUUGUAAACCAGAAAUGAAAAUUAAAAUUUUCUCCAAGUAU
rnacentral:tRNA from 1 species